rnacentral:rRNA from 1 species
CUGGCGGCGUGCCUAACACAUGCAAGUCGAGCGAGGAGAUCCUUCGGGAUGAUCCUAGCGGCGGACGGGUGAGUAACACGUGGGCAACCUGCCUCAUAGAGAGGAAUAGCCUUCCGAAAGGGAGAUUAAUACCUCAUAACAUUGCAGUUUCGCAUGGAACAGCAAUUAAAGGAGCAAUCCGCUAUGAGAUGGGCCCGCGGCGCAUUAGCUAGUUGGUGAGGUAACGGCUCACCAAGGCGACGAUGCGUAGCCGACCUGAGAGGGUGAUCGGCCACAUUGGGACUGAGACACGGCCCAGACUCCUACGGGAGGCAGCAGUGGGGAAUAUUGCACAAUGGGGGAAACCCUGAUGCCAGCAACGCCGCGUGAGUGAUGACGGCCUUCGGGUUGUAAAGCUCUGUCUUCAGGGACGAUAAUGACGGUACCUGAGGAGGAAGCCACGGCUAACUACGUGCCAGCCGCGGC